UGCUGACUUAUUUCCAGGAUCGCUGCAGCCCUUCACGGUCGCCGUUUCCCAGGACUGAGCUCACUCUCCUGAAGAAUGACUCCGGCCUCUGUUUCCUAAGGGAUGACCUGAGAUGUUAGAACAAAUGCCGUUUCCUUGCUCUCAGUGCUAGGACAGAGUCAGGAGCUGAAUCCCAGAGGACUCUCCCGGAUACAGCAACCGUAGGAGGAAUCUGCUGCUGUAAUUGCAUUUCUGGGGCAUCGGGCAUUUUCUGAUUCAUUUAAUACGUGCCAUGUUGCAUUUGUUACAGAUCAGACACACAACAGGAGCCCUAUUACCUUAGAAGCACGGCUAUUAUUGAGUACUGACUUAAUUAGGGAUCAGGCUGGUUUGACAGAACCCAUCCUGCCCAGUCUCCCACUGCUGGGCGUUGUGUCCUCCUUCCAGCCCCGGUUCACUGCCCAGCACCAGGCAGAGGGGCCAUCGCUGCUGGUACCCCCCGACCCAUCUGCUUUCCCACAUGGCCCAUGGUGUUCCCAGACCCCCAGACUUACUGCUGGGUGGCAGUGGAGCUCAGCCCACCCCCGGCUCGGCUCACCCACCUGGCUGUGAGUUCCCCUGGCAGGGACGUGGUGCACUGUGCAGUUCCUGCUUCUGUAGUUUUCCACGGCUGCCAUUGUUUACACGGAGCACCCAAGGUUCCAAGGGCAUGUCCUCUGCACGCCGCCUGGAAACACACCCCGCACGGCGGCGGCUGUCCUGCGGCAGGGCUGGCACGAGGAGGCAGAUCUGCUUACCGCUCCCAUUCCCCGGAGGCUGGAUGUGCUGAGAUGUGCUGUGCGGUGGGAGGGCACCUCGGCGCAGUGACCUUGGAUGGGCAAAUGCACCUGUAAAAACAGCAGAGGUGGUGAGGAGAGGUUGGUCCUCCUGCUCCCACACUGCAGGCAGCUGCAUGUCCCCAGGAAGUGCGCAUCUGGGCACCCCCACAUCUAUACUGCUACCCCUGCAUCUCUGUACACCCACACAUCUGUACACCUGCACAUCUGGACUACUGCACCAUUGGCUCUGACGUCUCCAUGCAGGGCUCCAUAGCAUAUGGAAGCACAUAGGGCAGGAAUGGAGAGCCAGAGACCGUGGCAGUGUGUGGCAGAGCACAGCUUUGCGGGACUGAUGUGCACCAGCACCAAGAGGAUGCUGUAGGUGAUGGCCAGCGGGGAGCAGCCAGGGAUGUCUCUGGGUCUCAGUGUCAGCAUGGCCAGAGCCACUUGGUACCCAACUGACUGACCUGCUUCAGUGGAAGAUGGCCAAGUUGCUUAGAAAAAAUAAAAGUUGAAGCAAGCAAAUAUCAGGAGGGACGCAAGCCUUUACCCGCAGGCAGAAGGACGUGGAAGUUUUAUUGUUUUUCCUUUGGUGGUGUCCUUUUACAGUUUGGAUGCACAAUCCCAGCAAAACUUGGCUGGGAUGCAUCCGUGGCCGCUUCCCACCGCCUGCUGCCCUGCUCUGCUCCUGCAUGCAGAACUCGAAUAUGCUGAUGAAUGCAGCGUAAGCAGGAAAAAGGGGAGCACAGCAUGAUCGGAUGCAUUAACGGCUGCCUGCACGAGGCCCCUGUUCGUGUCCUGUGGUGUGUGUGAUAUUUCAUGUGACAGAGCUUUGCGACGCUUCAACUCUGUCCUGUCCGCAAAAUGACAGUCUGAUCAUCAUUGCUUUCUAUAGUUCGGGAAUGGUGGCAAAAGAGAUUUACUUUCCAGCCCCAGAUACUCUGAUCCUCUAAGGCAGCGUCCUACAAACCCAGGUACAGGUUCUUCUGUAUUGGCUGCAAGUGCUGGAACACUUUCUUCAUAGGAAUGAUAGAGAUGUGGAAGGACAAAACCAAAAUAUGCACUGCUGCAGUUUGUACAGCGUAAAAAAAUAAGGGAGCAUAAUCCAAAUAACAACAUCUAGUGCUUUUACAGGGCUCCGUGCAUAUGGCAUAAAUGACAGCUAAUUAAACUUUAUAUCCUGCCUGCAAGAUAAGCGUAUAAUUAGUAUUACAUCCCUUCUGUAAUUAGGAGACCGCAUGCAAAAAGCUGCGCCUGCAGACUGUGCUGGAAGGC
rnacentral:lncRNA from 1 species